UAUAUGCACAGCAGAGUGGCACCAACUUGCACAGGGGGGGCCCGUGCAUCCCUCAGCCAGAUACAGAUCUGAGAUCAGUGCAAUUUCUAGCCCCCAAGGACUGCAGCCUCCCUGGACCCACGGCAGCCCAGCAAGUGUGUGUUGGCCUGGGAAGAGAGGAUGCAGUGCUGCAGGCUGACAGCUCUCUCAUGUCCUUCUUAUAAUGAGGUGAUGAAAAUUGUGCCCUGUAUUAAAGUUUUUGUCUGGCUAGUGACUCAAACAAAUGAUCUCCAAUACAUAGCCCUGAGAGCUGAAAUUCUGGUUGGCAGAUGACCUCAGUGACACGAGGGUACGUUCCUGACAUUGGAAGUGAUGUGGUAAUUGGUGCCAAAUUCAACCCUGCCUCUUAUAUAAACACCACCCACUUGUUCUUCUUUAGCAUUGCUAAUGCUAGUUCCUGGUUGCGUCCCUGUUUGUUUGAUCCAGCUUGAUUUCUGUCUUCGCUUCCUGUCUUCUCCCUUGGCACUUCUGCUGUGGACUCUGGCAUUUGAAUUCGCUGACUCUCCUGAAUACUCCCGUGAUACUUGCUUUUACAGUUCUUGUUCUGAUCCAUGGAAUGCUUAACUAUUCUCCUGUAGGACUGACUAUUGGUUCCAGUUGCCAGACUGUUACACUGUGUACCCACUCAGGGAACCGUGACCUGCGUGCCAGGUGUAGAAAAGCCCAAAUCCCCUUGUAGAGAGGGCUAUCUUUAUGUAUGGGCUAAGUGGGCAGUAGCCCAGGGACACCCCGAUUCUAGGGGCCCAGAGCACACAAGUACCCUUAGCAUUUUUUUGUUUCAUUAUUAUUAUCUUUUUAUUUAUUUAUUUAUUUAUGUCCUUCAGAAUUUUCUAUAUACAUAUGCGGACAGGUGGGUGGGAGCUGAGGGGGGGGGAAGGGGAGUCAUAAGAUGAGUGGCAAAUGCCUAUGACUGGACUGUAAUAGGUUCCUUCCUCAUCCACACAGCAGCUGUGGAGCUACUGGUCUAGCGAGAUGAUGACAUCGUCAACUCGUCAGUGUUUCUCUAACUACUCCAGGCUCCGGGAUUGGGAGUUACAGCAGCAUUAACUGUUUGGGUGGGCUGAGACAUGUUGGCCUUCCCAUGUAUGUAUGUAUGUAUGUAUGUAUGUAUGUAUGUAUGUAUGUGUGUGUGUGACUGAGGCCCUGUGUGUCUCUGUGGGGUGGACAGGUAAGCUGCAUGCUAUCAUCACUGCUGCAUAGCCUCUACUGUUUGGGCCAGUGACAGUACCUGCAAGAGCUUCACCAGCCUUACUAGAAUUUUCAGUGUUACCGACAUCAUAUAUUACUCCAGAGGGACUUACACUCACCCUCCCCUGUGGGCACUACUUACACUCACCCUCCCCUGUGGGCACUACUUACACUCACCCUCCCCAGUGGGCACUACUUACACUCAUCCUACCUGUGUGCACUGUGUGUAAUGUCACAACUUCUUAUUGCCCGUGCCUAAAAUAAUUGAUAUAUAUCAUGUAUGGUGCACUGCACGUACUGUCAUUCUUUUAAUAUUUUCUUCACAGGAGGACUACAGGUGCCAGCAGGCUCUUAAUGUCUGGUAAUGACUGCAAUUGUUGCUCAACAAGUGCCGGCAUGCUAGGGCUGGCCUGCUGGUACCUGUAGUCCCACUGUAAAUAACUAUAUUAUGUUUUUUACACCAUUAACCCCACACCAACCACCACCAAGGUUGUGGGGAAUAGCCGUGGCUUUUCAGUGAAGUACUGCGGGUUGGGAGAGGGACCCCAUUCUUUGGGAGAUUCCCACUUUCUCAGGAGUUCCAACCCUGGGCUAACCAGUUUAGGGCUGGUUAAAGUGACAGUAGGGGGACAUUAAGCAUUAUAACCCGCUGGUGGUUCAGCCCAGUGCUGGUUAUUGUAAAAUCGUAGGGACCCGGCACUGGUUUUUCCCCAGAGUUUCCAGUAGAAGACCAGGCUGAGUGAUCCGGUAUUAGUUAUGAUAUUGGGAGGGACCUUACAUAUUAAUUUUUUCUGCUUUAAAUAUUUACUGUGGAUUCAGACUUCUAUUUGACAGCACGGUUUAUCAUAAACGGGCAAAAUGACAGGGUACUAGAAUGAAAGAACGAAGGGUAUCAUCAUUGGAAGACAACAGCCACUCAAAAACUAUGCUUAUUUUAUCCAGCAUUUAGGACUUCUAAGCUGACGGCUUUUUCCAGCGAUCUAGUUUAAAAAUCAAAUACAAUUCUUAGUAAAUUAACCGCCAAGUCAUUCUCUAAUUCUAAUGAGUAGAAUUCUAAACAUGAUAGAGCAUAAUAAACACAUUUUAAAAAAACAAGAAAUACUUUAUAUUAGGACAGAAAAAUUGUAAAUUCUUUAAUGUAAAUAGACCAUGUAGUGCUGCAUUCAUUUUCAUUUAAUAGAAGGGGGUGGGGGGUAAGUAAAGAGGGUAAGGAAUUAAAGAUAAAGGGCUUAAUUCAGAGUUGAUCACAGCAGCAAAUUUGUUAGCAGUUGGGCAAAACCAUGGCCCUCAUUCCGAGUUGUUCGCUCGCUAGCUGCUUUUAGCAGCAUUGCAAACGCUAGGCCGCCGCCCUCUGGGAGUGUAUCUUAGCUUAGCAGAAUAGCAAACGAAAGAUUAGCAGAACUGCUACUAAAUAUUUUCUUGCAGUUUCUGAGUAGCUCCAGACCUACUCCUAGAUUGCGAUCAGCUCGGUCAGUUUAGUUCCUGGUUUGACGUCACAAAUGCCCUGCGUUCGGCCAGCCACUCCCCCGUUUCUCCAGACACUCCCGCGUUUUUCCCUGACACGCCUGCGUUAUUUAGCACACUCCCGGAAACUGCUCAGUUACCACCCAGAAACGCCCCUUUCCUGUCACUCACCGAUCAGCAGUGCGACUGAAAAGCGCUGCACGAACAACAGCAAAUCUACUAAGUUUUGUGUAAAAUAACUUAGCGCAUGCGCUCUGCGUACCAUGCGCAUGCGCAUUUAGCAACAAAUCGCAGCAUAGCGAAAAUGGGCAACGAGCGAACAACUCGGAAUGACCACCCAUGUGCACUGCAGGGGGGCAGAUAUAACAUAUGCAGAGAGAGUUAGAUUUGGGUGGGGUGUGUUCAAACUGAAAUCUAAAUUGCAGUGUAAAAUUAAAGCAGCCAGCAUUUACCCUGCACAGAAACAAAAUAACCCACCCAAAUCUAACUCUGCACAUGUUACAUCUGCCCCACCUGCAGUGCACAUGGUUUUGCCCAACUGCUAACACAUUUUCUGCUGUGAUCAGGUCUGAAUUACCCCCAAUAUGGGAUAGCUGUUAUCCAAUAAACAAUAGUUUCAAAAUGUGGUCUGAACUAUAAAUCCGGUAUAAAGGAUUUAUUAAGCUGAUACCAGUGAGCCUCGGUUUUGUGGUAUGUAAUAAAGGUAUUACACAUGCCACAAAUAUUCGAAAGAUUAAAUGAACCAAAUACUGUACUAUACAAUUAAUUAAGGAGUGCUUUGGUGGGGGAAAUGGGUAUGGUUCCAAUCUCUAGCUAUGAGGAAAUUAGCUCACUGAAAAAGAACAUUAUAAUUUUAUCAUUUGGUUCUCUCAAAGCUCAUCCAAAAUGUGAAGGAACGUUCACACUUUAUAAUAUCUUUAUAAGAGAUGUGCGUGGACCCCCGUGUUUUGGAUUUGGUUUUAAAUCUUCAUUGUGCCUGGUUUUAAUUAGAGAUGUGCGGCGGGCACUUUUCGAGUUUUGUGUUUUGGUUCUGGUUCCAUGCUCGUAUUUUGGAUCUGGAUUGGUUUUGCCAAAACCAUCCUUUCGUGUUUUGGUUUUGGAUCCGGAUGAGCACAAGACAGCACCACUGGACUGGACUUAUAUGGCAGUACCCCUGGAGUUUUACGGCAGUGUCAGACAGGAUGGCACUUUAAAAAACUAGUCCCCAAACAGCACACGAUGCAAAGAAGAAAAAGAGGUGCAAGAUGGAAUUGUCCAUGGGCCCUCCCACCCACCCUUAUUUUGUAUAAACAGGACAUGAACACUUUAACAAACCAAUAAUCUCAGCGACAGGGUCUGCCACACGACUGUGGCUGAAAUGAAUGGUUUGUUUAGGCCCCCAUCAAAAAAGAAGCAAUCAAUCUCUCCUUGCACAAACUGGCUCUACAGAGGCAAGAUGUUGACCUCAUCCUCAUCCUCCGAUUCCUCACCCCUUUCACUGUGUACAGCCUCACAGAGUAUUAAUUCGUCCCCACUGGAAUCCACCAUCACAGGUUCCUGUGUACUUUCUGUAGGCAAUUGCUAGUAAAGGUCUUCCCGGAGGAAUUUAUAAUUCAUUUUGAUGAACAUCAUCUUCUCCACAUUUUGUGGAAGUAACCUCCUACGCCGAUCCCUGACAAGGUUACCGGCUGCACUAACAUUCUUUCAGAGUACACACUGGAGGGAGGGCAACUUAGGUAAAAUAGAGCCAGUUUAUGCAAGGGCAUCCAAAUUGCCUCUUUUUCCUGCCAGUAUACAUAUGGACUGUCUGACAUGCCUACUUGGAUGCUGUCACUCAUAUAAUCCUCCACCAUUCUUUCAAUGGUGACAGAAUCAUAUGCAGUGACAGUAGACAUGUCAGUAAUCGUUGGCAGGUUCUUCAAUCCGGACCAGAUAUCAGCAGUCGCUCCUGACUGCCCUGUAUCACCGCUAGCGGGUGGGCUAGGAAAUCUUAUCCUUUUCCUCACAGCCCCAGUUGCGAGAGAAAAUGAAGGAGGAGCUGUUGACGGGUCACGUUCCGCUUGAGUUGACAAUUUUCUCACCAGCAGGUCUUUGUACCUCUGCAGACUCGUGUCUGCCACAAAGAGAGAUACAAAGUAGGCUUUAAACCUAGGAUCGAGCACGGUGGCCAAAAUUUAGUGAUCUGAUUUCAACAGAUUGACCACCCUUGAAUCCUGGCAAAGCGAAUGAAGGGCUCCAUCCACAAGUGCCACAUACUUUGCGGAAUCGCUCCACCUUAGCUCCUCCUUCAAUUUCUCCAGCUGCUUCUGCAAAAGCCUGAUGAGGGGAAUGACCUGACUCAAACUGGCAGUGUCUGAACUGACUUCACGUGUGGCAAGUUCGAAGGGUUGGAGAACCUUGCACAAGACGAAAAUCAUUCUCCAAUGUGCUUGAGUCAGGUGCAAUCCCCCUCCUUGGCCUAUAUCGUAGGUGGAUGUAUAGGCUUGAAUUGCCUUUUGCUGCUCCUCCAUCCACUGAAGCAUAGAGAGUGUUGAAUUCCACCUCAUUACCACCUUUUGCUUCAGGUGAUGACAGGGCAGGUUCAGUCUUUGCCACGUGGUGGCUGACUGCCGAAAGUGGCCCACAAUUUUUCGGCCCACCAACAGCAUCUCCUGCACACCCCUGUCAUUUAAAAAAAAAAUUCUGCACCACCAAAUUAAUUGUAUGUGCAAAACAUGGGACGUGCUGGAAUUUGCCCAGAUGUAAUGCACGCACAAUAUUGGUGGCAUUGUCCGAUAUCACAAAUCCACAGGAGAGUCUAAUUGGGUAAGCCAUUGUGCGAUGAUGUCCCUCAGUUUCUGUAAGAGAUUGUCAGUGGUGUGUCUCUUACGUAAAGCGGUGAUAGUAGCCUGCCUAGGAACGAGUUGGCGUUUGCAAGAUGCUGCUACUGGUGCCGCUGCUGUUGUUGCUGCGGGAGGCAAUACAUCUACCCAGUGGGCUGUCACAGUCAUAUAGUCCUUAGUCUGCCCUGUUCCACUUGUCCACAUGUCCGUGGUUAAGUGGACAGUGCGUACAACUGGAUUUUUUAGGAGACUGAGGACACUUUUUCUGACGUCUCUGUACAUUCUCGGUAUCGCCUGCCUAGUGAAGUGGAACCUAGAUGGGAUUUGGUACUGGGGACACAGUACCUCAAACAAUUCUCUAAGUCCCACUGAACUAAUGGCGGAUACCAGACGCACCUCUAAUACCAACAUAGCUGUCAAGGCCUCAGUUAUCUGCUUUGCAACAGGAUGACUGCUGCCAUAUUUAAUCUUCCUCACAAAGGACCGUUGGACAAUCAAUUGCUUAUUUGAAGUAGUACAAGUGGUCUUCCGACUUCCCCUCUGGGAUGACGAUUGACUCCCAGCACCAACAACAGCAGCGGCAGCAACAGCAGCAGUAGGCGUAAUACUCAAGGAUCCUCUGGAGGAAUCCUGGUUAGGAGAGGACUGCUCAGUCUUGCUAGUGACAUGGUCUGCAGGACUACUGAUGUUCCUGACUGAGGAGGAAGUUGAUGUUGAGGGAAUUGGUGGUGUGGCUUGCUUGGUUACAAGAGGAAGAAGGGAUUUGGGUGUCAGUGGACUGCUUACGCUCUUACCCAAAGUUUCACAACUUGACACUGACUUCUGAUGAAUGCGCAGCAGGUGACGUAUAAGGGAGGAUGUUCCUUGGUGGUUAACGUCCUUACCUCUACUUAUUAUUGACAGAGGUAACACACAGAUUGACACCUGUUGUCCGGAUUUGCGGAUAAAUAAUUCCACACCAAAGAGGUGGCUUUUUUGGUAUUUUGCCCAGGCAUCACAAGGGCUUAUUCAUCCCAUGGACAACAGGCGUCUCCCCCGGUGCCUGAUUUAAACAAAUCACAUCACCAUCAGAAUCCUCAUCGUCAACUUCCUCCUCAGCGCCAGCAACACCCAUAUCCUCAUGCAGGUGUACUUCAACAGUGACAUCUUCAAUUUGAAUAUUAGAAACUGGACUGUGGGUGCUCCUUCCAGCACUUGCAGAGGGCGUGCAAAUGGUGGAAGGAGCCACCUCUUCCCGUCCACUGUUGGGAAGGUCAGGCAUCGCAACCGCCAACACACUUGGACUCUCCUUGGUGAUUUGUGAUACUAUCUUAGAAUGCACAGUUCUUUGCUGUGCUUUGCCAUCUUAACAGUUAGAAUUUUUCUAGCGGGACUAGUUAUGAACAUAGGCCAGGGCCUUAGCCGUUCCUUGCCACUCCAUGUCGUAAAUGGCAUAUUGGCAAGUUACAUUUCUCCUCAGACCAUUUAAAUUUAUUUUUUUGGGUCAUUUUACUGAACUUUUGCUUUUCGGAUUUGACAUGCCCUCUACUAUAACACUGGGCAUCGGCCUUGGCAGACAACGUUGAUGGCAUUUCAUCGUCUAUGUCAUGACUAGUGGCAGCAGCUUCAGCACUAGGAGGAAGUGGUUCUUGAUCUUUCCCUAUUUUAUCCUCCAAAUUUUUGUUCUCCAUUAUUUUUCUGGAGUUAUUUAACACAAUAUGUGGCAAAGGAGAACAUACCCCUACACCUCACAGGGUAAACCCUGUAAAAAUUAUAUUAAUUAAAUGUUAAUAACCCCUUUAUUUGGAGUAAAUAAUAUACAGCACAGGACACUACUACUGGUCUGAUGCAGGACAACACAGCAACACUGUAAGGGACUUAUUAUACAGCAGUACUGGACAUAUGGGAGCAGAAAACACCACCACUGUGACUAGUCACUGGACUGACUGAUGCACAGGACACUACCACUGGUCUGAUGCAAGACAACACAUAUAAAUAUACAGCAGCACUGGGCAUAUGGCAGCAGAUGACACCACCACUAUGACUGGUCACUGGAUUGACUGAUGCACAGGAUACUACCACUGGUCUGAUGCAGGACAACACAGCAACACUGUAAGGGACUUAUUAUACAGCAGCACUGGACAUAUGGCAGCAGAGGACACUACCACUGUGACUGGUCACUGGACUGACUGAAGCACAGGAUACUACCACUGGUCUGAUGCAGGACAACACAGCGACACUGUAAGGGACUUACUAUACAGCAGCACUGGACAUAUGGCAGCAGAGGACACCACCACUGUGACUAGUCACUGGACUGACUGAUGCACAGGACACUACCACUGGUCUGAUGCAGGACAACACAGCAACACUGUAAGGGACUUAUACAGCAGCACUGGACAUAUGGUGGCAGAGAACACCACCACUGUGACUGGACACUGGACUGACUGAUGCACAGUACACUACCACUGGUAUGAUGCAGGACAACACAGCGACACUGUAAGGGACUUAUACAGCAGCACUGGACAUAUGGCAGCAGAGGAAACCACCACUAUGACUGGUCACUGGACUGACUGAUGCACAGGAUACUACCACUGGUCUGAUGCAGGACAACACAGAAACACUGUAAGGGACGUAUUAUACAGCAGUACUGGACAUAUGGCAGCAGAAACCACCACUGUGACUGGUCACUGGACUGACUGAUGCACAGGACACUACCACUGGUCUGAUGCAGGACAACACAGCGACACUGUAAGGGACUUACUAUACAGCAGCACUGGACAUAUAGCAGCAGAGGACACCACCACUAUGACUGGUCACUGGACUGACUGAUGCACAGAACACUACCACUGGUCUGAUGCAGGACAACACAGCAACACUGUAAGGGAGUUAUUAUACAGCAGCACUGGACAUAUGGUGGCAGAGAACACCACCACUGUGACUGGACACUGGACUGACUGAUGGACAGGACACUACCACUGGUAUGAUGCAGGACAACACAACGACACUGUAAGGGACUUAUACAGCAGCACUGGACAUAUGGCAGCAGAGGAAACCACCACUAUGACUGGUCACUGGACUGACUGAUGCACAGGACACUACCACUGGUCUGAUGCAGGACAACACAGCAACACUGUAAGGGACUUAUUAUACAGCAGCACUUGACAUAUAGCGGCAGAGAACACCACCACUGUGACUGGUCACUGGACUGACUGAUGCACAGGACACUACCACUGGUAUGAUGCAGGACAACACAGCGACACUGUAAGGGACUUAUAAAGCAGCACUGAAAAUAUGGCAGCAGGGGACACCACCACUGUGACUGGUCACUGGACAGGACACUACCACUGGUCUGAUGCAGGACAACACAGCAACACUGUAAGGGACUUAUUAUAUACAGCGGCACUGGACAUAUAGCAGCAGAGGACACUACCACGGUGACUGGUCACUGGACUGACUGAUGCACAGGAUACUACCACUGGGCUGAUGCAGGACAACACAGCAACACUGUAAGGGACUUAUUAUACAGCAGCACUGGACAUAUGGCAGCAGAGGACACCACCACUGUGACUGGCCCCUGAACUGACUGAUGCACAGGACACUACCACUGGUCUGAUGCAAGACAACACAGCGACACAGUGAGGGACUUAUUAUACAGCAGCACUGGACAUAUGGCAGCACAGGACACCACCACUGUGACUGGUCACUGGAGUGACUGAUGCACAGGACACUACCACUAGUCUGAUGCAAGAAAACACAGCAACACUGUAAGGGACUUAUACAGCAGCACUGGACAUAUGGUGGCAGAGAACACCACCACUGUGACUGGUCACUGGACUGACUGAUGCACAGGAUACUACCACUGGUCUGAUGCAGGACAACACAGCAACACUGUAAGGGACUUAUUAUACAGCAGCACUGGACAUAUAGCGGCAGAGAACACCCCCACUGUGACUGGUCACUGGACUGACUGAUGCACAGGACACUACCACUGGUAUGAUGCAGGACAACACAGCGACACUGUAAGGGACUUAUAAAGCAGCACUGAAAACAUGGCAGCAGGGGGCACCACCACUGUGACUGGUCACUGGACAGGACACUACCACUGGUCUGAUGCAGGAUGCAGCAACACUGUAAGGGACUUAUACAGCAGCACUGGACAUAUGGUGGCAGAGAACACCACCACUGUGACUGGUCACUGGACUGACUGAUGCACAGGAUACUACCACUGGUCUGAUGCAGGACAACACAGCAACACUGUAAGGGACUUAUUAUAUACAGCAGCACUGGACAUAUAGCAGCAGGGGACACCACCACGGUGACUGGUCACUGGACUGACUGAUGCACAGGACACUACCACUGGUCUGAUGCAAGACAACACAGCGACACAGUGAGGGACUUAUUAUACAGCAGCACUGGACAUAUGGCAGCACAGGACACCACCACUGUGACUGGUCACUGGACUGACUGAUGCACAGGACACUACCACUAGUCUGAUGCAAGAAAACACAGCAACACUGUAAGGGACUUAUACAGCAGCACUGGACAUAUGGCUGCAGAGGACGCCACCACUGUGACUGGUCACUGGACUAACUGAUGCAGCUAAGACACUACACUGGACUGAGCAGCACAAGACAGCACUAUAAUCACCACCCCACUUUCCCGCCCGCACAGACACUGAGGACGGAGACACGUCCUCUCACUACACUCUCCAGGACUAGAGUGAAAAUGGCGGCGACGCGUGGCUCCUUAUAUGGUAUCCAAACCCCGCGAGAAUCUGACAGCGGGAUGAUGACUUUUUGCCUCGUUCUGGUUUCUGAGUCAGGCAGAAAAACCCGAGCCGGACUCGGAUCCAGGUUCGGGUAGUGAAGUUCGGUAGGGUUCGGUUCUCUGAGAACCGAACCCGCUAAUCUCUAGUUUUAAUAAAACCACACUCAAAUGUUUUGGUUUUGUAUUUCUUUAAAAAUGGAUAAAAAAAUAUAAUCAUAUAAUUUGGACCUAUUUUUGUUCCUAAAGUAUAAUUUACAUCAAUAACAUUAAUUUCUAGUUAAUUUUGACCAUCUUACAGUAUUCUUUUCAGCAGUAUUGACCAAAGGCUGCAGCGAGCUGGAUGGCUAAACUAUGUAACAGAGCAGUGGCACAAACACACAACAGUUUAAAAGAAUAUAGCACAUCUAUGAAACAUUGCGGCACAGCAGUGGCAGACAGGAUGGCAGUUUAAUAAACUAUACGAUCCUAUAGAAUGUUUUAAUUUAUCAUGAAUCAGAGGCCCGUUACUAGUAUAGGUGAUUAAAGGCAGAGUUACAGUCUAAUAGAAGUCAAUAAUUAUAAGAUGAUAUGACUUCAUGAUAUGAUGAUUAUAUGAUUUGAAGACUAUAUGAAGAUUAUAUGAUUUGAUGAUACUACUCUAUAUAAGUGGAGAAAGCUACAAGAAAUGCACCUAUAUGUCUGGGUGAGAAGCUGGUGAUGGAUAGCCUAGUAAGAUAUAGAAGACAGUCAAUGACCCAGUAAAGUACAGUAUUAUAAUUAUACACUGCCUAUCAAACACACACAAUAAAGGAUGAUAAAGGGGAUGAGUUAGUGAUGGAUGGCCUGGCAAGAUACCGGAGACCACUAAUGCCCCAGUACAGUAACAGUAUCAUAUGAUGCCUGGGAAACACACACAAUAAAAGAUGAUAAAGGGGAUGAGUUAGUGAUGGAUGGCCUGGCAAGAUACCGGAGACCACUAAUGCCCCAGUACAGUAACAGUAUUAUAUGAUGCCUGGGAAACACACACAAUAAAGGAUGAUAAAGGGGAUGAGUUAGUGAUGGAUGGCCUGGCAAGAUACCGGAGACCACUAAUGCCCCAGUACAGUAACAGUAUCAUAUGAUGCCUGGGAAACACACACAAUAAAAGAUGAUAAAGGGGAUGAGUUAGUGAUGGAUGGCCUGGCAAGAUACCGGAGACCACUAAUGCCCCAGUACAGUAACAGUAUUAUAUGAUGCCUGGGAAACACACACAAUAAAAGAUGAUAAAGGGGAUGAGUUAGUGAUGGAUGGCCUGGCAAGAUACCGGAGACCACUAAUGCCCCAGUACAGUAACAGUAUUAUAUGAUGCCUGGGAAACACACACAAUAAAAGAUGAUAAAGGGGAUGAGUUAGUGAUGGAUGGCCUGGCAAGAUACCGGAGACCACUAAUGCCCCAGUACAGUAACAGUAUUAUAUGAUGCCUGGGAAACACACACAAUAAAAGAUGAUAAAGGGGAUGAGUUAGUGAUGGAUGGCCUGGCAAGAUACCGGAGACCACUAAUGCCCCAGUACAGUAACAGUAUUAUAUGAUGCCUGGGAAACACACACAAUAAAGGAUGAUAAAGGGGAUGAGUUAGUGAUGGAUGGCCUGGCAAGAUACCGGAGACCACUAAUGCCCCAGUACAGUAACAGUAUUAUAUGAUGCCUGGGAAACACACACAAUAAAGGAUGAUAAAGGGGAUGAGUUAGUGAUGGAUGGCCUGGCAAGAUACCGGAGACCACUAAUGCCCCAGUACAGUAACAGUAUCAUAUGAUGCCUGGGAAACACACACAAUAAAAGAUGAUAAAGGGGAUGAGUUAGUGAUGGAUGGCCUGGCAAGAUACCGGAGACCACUAAUGCCCCAGUACAGUAACAGUAUUAUAUGAUGCCUGGGAAACACACACAAUAAAAGAUGAUAAAGGGGAUGAGUUAGUGAUGGAUGGCCUGGCAAGAUACCGGAGACCACUAAUGCCCCAGUACAGUAACAGUAUCAUAUGAUGCCUGGGAAACACACACAAUAAAAGAUGAUAAAGGGGAUGAGUUAGUGAUGGAUGGCCUGGCAAGAUACCGGAGACCACUAAUGCCCCAGUACAGUAACAGUAUUAUAUGAUGCCUGGGACACACAGACAAUAAAAGAUGAUAAAGGGGAUGAGUUAGUGAUGGAUGGCCUGGCAAGAUACCGGAGACCACUAAUGCCCCAGUACAGUAACAGUAUCAUAUGAUGCCUGGGACACACACACAAUAAAGGAUGAUAAAGGGGAUGAGUUAGUGAUGGAUGGCCUGGCAAGAUACCGGAGACCACUAAUGCCCCAGUACAGUAACAGUAUUAUAUGAUGCCUGGGACACACACACAAUAAAAGAUGAUAAAGGGGAUGAGUUAGUGAUGGAUGGCCUGGCAAGAUACCGGAGACCACUAAUGCCCCAGUACAGUAACAGUAUCAUAUGAUGCCUGGGAAACACACACAAUAAAAGAUGAUAAAGAGGAGGGAGCUGAUGAUGGAUGUCCUGGCGAGAUAGAGAAGACGACCAAUGCCCCAGUAAAGUACAGAAUUAUGCGCCUCCUGUUAAACACACAAAAUAAAGGAUGAUGAGGAGGAUGAGCUGGUGAUGAAUGGCCUUAGAAGUUACAGAACACCAUCAAUCCAUAGAAAAGUACUGUAAUAUUAUAUGCUGCCUGUCAAAUGCACACAGUCUUGGCAAAACAAACAAGCAGGAGAAGUGUAGGCGGAAAUACGGUAGAAAGCAGCAGCUGAAAUUUGACCCAGUCUUACCUACCACAAGAAAAUAAAUCGCAAUAAAAUCAGGCAGUAUGAUGUCCUUUCCCUCGAUGGCUAUAACAUGAAAGGGAAAAAGAAGGACUGAUACUGUGUAGUUUCUUCCAAAUAUACUGUAUAAUUCACACAAAACAGUAAGGGAUGCCGGAGGGUAGUUUAUAUGACACUUUUGUGGUUGAAAUGCUUGAUUUCAGAUCCACUAAAGAAAACAUGAUGAUGGUUUGGUUAAAUCAAGGUACCAAUGGUUUUAAGGUGGCUAACAAUGUUGUUAAUCAUCAUCAUCAUCAUCAUCAUCAUCAUCAUAGUUGGAAGAUGUCUUCAUCACUGCCUUCCUCAUUGUAAUAUCAUUACUCAAUAUUAGCUCUUCCCUAUAGGAAUCCACUGUUACAGAAGAAGUCUCUGUUUGUUGGAAUUGGCUACACAGGUGUUUCUUAUAGAGUUUUUUUUCCACUUUUUUGGGGGAAGUGGCCUCUUAUACCAAUGGCUCACAAGGUCCCUGGCUCUGCUAAACACUCUUUCCAAGUACACACUGGAGUGUGGGCAUCUUAAGUAUACCAAAGCAAAUUUGUACAAGGGGCUCCAAAUUACCUUUUUUCCUAGAGUAGUAAGAGUAGCCUGGCAUUGUUUGUUAGAUAUUGCUGCUGCUGUUACUGAAGGUGAUACACCCACCCAGCGAGCUGUCACAGUCAUGUGGUCUUUAGUUUGACCGGUAUCGCUUGUCACGUGUCUGUAUUUAUGAGGAUAGUGGGUACCAUGGAAUUUUGUAGGCAAAGAAUAUUUUUGUUUAACGUCCUGGUUCAGUGUGUAAUAUAUGUGCUGGCUGCCUUACACAGGGACCAGCAGCUGCCGCUGUGUAUCACUGACCUGCUGGCUGCUGAAGCACCCAAGUCAGCACUUUGUUCUUCUAUCAUCUUCUAUAAGGCCGCCCCCCACUCCCAUUUGCUCUGGGGUGGGCUUAUAGAAGAUGAUAGACAAGCAGAGUGCUGUCUCCUUUGCUUCGGCAGACUGCAGGUCAGUGAUACACACAGCGGCGGCUGCUGAUCCCUGGGUAAGUCAGCCAGCACAUAUAUUACAUACUGCAUCCUCGAAGUGAUGAUAUGCCCCACACAGAUCCCUGAUCUCAUCAUCAUCAUGUCUGUCUGGGCUUACAUGAAGAGACAGAAGGAUUUGAGCAAGCCUACAACCACAGAAGAUCUGUGGUUGGUUCUCCAAGAUGUUUGGCAUAACCUACCUGCCGAGUACCUUAAAAACUGUACAACCGUACCUAGAAGAAUUGAUGCUGUUUUGAAGGCAAAGGGUGGUUACAGCAAAUACUGAUUUGAUUUAGAUUUAUCUUCUGCUCAAUCACUUUGCAUUUUGUUAACUGAUAAAAAUAAACAUUUAACACUUCUA